ACGAAAAAAUUGGGGUGUUUAAGUUCAAUUAAAAUGUUGUGUAUCUAUCUAUUUAAAAAAUAAUAUCCGGCGAUUAUCUGUUUCAGACUAUGAUCUGAUUUUUUUUUUCAUGCCACUGGUCUCAAAUCUCAAUUGACGCAUAAACUCUAAACUUUAUAUAUCGAUAAAUUAUAAUUGCAUCAAAACAGAGAUAAGGAUUCACGAGAAGCAAUCAAUCAAGAAAUGGCAGUGAAUCCUAGGGUUUUGAAGGCAGGGCUGGGGAUGAUGGCAGUGUGCUUGGCAGGAUACAUAAUUGGCCCACCUCUGUAUUGGCACUUCGUGGAGGGAUUGGCUUCUGUAAGCCGCUCUUCCUCUUCUUGUGCUCCGUGCAUCUGUGACUGUGAUUCUGAGUCACUUCCAUCCAUCCCCAUAGCCCUGAGCAAUAUUUCCUUUGCAGAUUGUGCAAAGCGUGAUCCUGAUGUUAGUGAAGACACACAGAACAACUUUGCAGAGCUAUUGUCCGAGGAACUAAAGCUGCGAGAAUCCGAAGCAUUGGAAAAACAGCAGCAUUCAGACGUGGCAUUGCUCGAUGCCAAGAAGAUGACAUCUCAGUAUCAGAAAGAGGCAGACAAAUGCAAUUCUGGGAUGGAAACAUGCGAGGAGGCGAGAGAAAAGGCCGAAGUUUCUUUAUUGGCACAGAAGAGACUGACUUCUGUAUGGGAGCUUAGGGCACGACAAAGGGGAUGGAAAGGGGGAGUUUCCAAGUCUCGCGGGAAUGUACAGGCUAUAUAACUUCCCAAUGCGAUCCAUCAAAUUAACACAGGAAGGUGCAUCUUUGUAGGAACAAGUUCAUGAUUUCUUCCGUGGCAAGCUGCCUUGCUAGCAUCCCAAAUUGGAUUUAAUAGAGGGUCAUUUCAUUUUUCUCCAAGGAAGCAUCUUUUGUUCUAUAAGUUCUCAUCAGAAUCUAUCCUGGCCGGAUGGGUUUUUCUUGUGGACAGCCGCUUUUCUGUUCACCGAGUGCACUCGAGGUCGACAGAAAGAAUAUCGAAAACCCACCAAAUGCAUUGAAUCACAAACUGCGCCAGCUUCUUGUAGUCUCCUUUGACAAGCCAGAAAGGGUGUGAGAAAGAAUGGAGGAAGAGUUCUUUGAGAGGCUUAGAAUGCCGAUGUUGACAGUCGGAAGGAGCUGAAUACCGAGCCAUUUGUCAGCAUAAUAUGGCCGGAGCUGGUGAUCUCUGGUGAGAUCGAGAGGUUUUCUGUGACAUUGCAGCGAGGAAGCUAAAAAAAGAACUGCUGCAUGGGGAGAAAGGCACUGGCCGAGCUGGAUUUGGCAACCUUGGCGUCAAUCUGUCCCACUCCCACAUGUCGUCUAGUGCACUUACCAGUGACGGUACCCAAACGAUUAAGCUUCGUUCCAAGAGUCGAGAGAGAGAGAGUUCUUGAUCUGUAAAUUUCAAUAGAACUUGGAAAUGUCUCUUUGUCCAGGGCCACAUAGGUUUCCAGGGUGAAAAUCCAGGGCAGCAGGGCUCGUAGAACUUUUCUUUUCAGUCCAUCUUACUGUUUUUUUAAAUAAAAUAAUUAACAAGGCAAAUAUUGCAUUGGUAUUCAUCGAA